AUUGAACGCUGGCGGCAGGCCUAACACAUGCAAGUCGAACGAGUGGCGGACGGGUGAGUACUGUCUGGGAAACUGCCCGAUGGAGGGGGAUAACUACUGGAAACGGUAGCUAAUACCGCAUACCAUCGGAUGUGCCCAGAUGGGAUUAGCUUGUAGGUGAGGUAACGGCUCACCUAGGCGACGAUCCCUAGCUGGUCUGAGAGGAUGACCAGCCACGAUGGGACUAGUACACGGUCCAGAUUCCUACGGUAGGAGCCAGGGGGGAAGAUGGCACAAUGGGCGCAAGCCGGAUGCAUCCAUGCCGGGUGUAUGAAGAAGGCCUUCGGGUUUGAAAGUACUUUCAGCGGGGAGGCGUUACCCGCAGAAGAAUCCCCGGCUAACUCCGUGCCAGCAGACGCGGUAAUAC
rnacentral:rRNA from 1 species